CCCUUGGAUGUUCUGGGCCGCACGCGUGCUACACUGAGUGGAUCAGCGGGUCAGGUUGCGCGAAAGCGUUUCCUAAUCUUUAAAUCCGCUCGUGAUGGGGAUUGACGGUUGCAAUUUUCUGUCAUGAACGAGGAAUACCUUGUAAGCGCGGGUCAUCAUCCCGCGCUGAAUACGUCCCUGCCCUUUGUACACACCGCCCGUCGCUCCUACCGAUUGAGUGGUCCGGUGAGGCUUUGGGAUCUGAGCGGAAAGAGCGUUUCGCUGUUUCUGCUCGGAAAACUCAGUCGAACCUUAUCAUUUAGAGGAAGGAGAAGUCGUAACA
rnacentral:rRNA from 1 species